UACGUAGGGUGCAAGCGUUGUCCGGAAUUAUUGGGCGUAAAGAGCUCGUAGGCGGUCUGUCGCGUCGGCUGUGAAAACCCGGGGCUCAACUCCGGGCCUGCAGUCGAUACGGGCAGACUAGAGUUCGGCAGGGGAGACUGGAAUUCCUGGUGUAGCGGUGAAAUGCGCAGAUAUCAGGAAGAACACCGAUGGCGAAGGCAGCUCUCUGGGACGGUACUGACGCUGAGACGCGAAAGCGUGGGGAGCGAACAGG
rnacentral:rRNA from 1 species